rfam:Methanosarcina sp. Ant1 MSANT_contig000078, whole genome shotgun sequence.
UAGUCUGACGCCAAGGUCCCGGAUAACCAGGCAGGCCACGAAAAAACCAUGACAACUCUCCUGCCUGCUCUCGCUGGUGCCAACACCAUCUACGGAGCCG